rfam:Influenza A virus (A/Duck/Hong Kong/p46/97 (H5N1)) nonstructural protein (NS) gene, alternatively spliced products, complete cds.
UUUCAGGACAUACUGAAGAGGAUGUCAAGAAUGCAAUUGGGGUCCUCA